rnacentral:rRNA from 11 species
CCAUAAGUCAACAGGAUACUUGAAGGCACCAGACGUCAUCUGAUCUUGGAAAUGAAGUAGGGUCAACUCUGGUUAGUACUUGGAUGGGAUGCCACCAAUGAGUACCGAGUGCUGUAGGGU